UCCCUCAUGGCGCAAUUGGCUAGCGCGUCUGACUGUUAAUCAGGAGGUUGGAAGUUCGAGCCUUCCUGAGGGAG
rfam:Escovopsis weberi scaffold00008, whole genome shotgun sequence.